GAACACUUAAUUUCGGUGCAGAGAGGUGAAGGUGUUUUAUCCACUGCAAGGACGCGUUCUUCGCAUCAGUGAAAGGCCUUACUUUAAAGAUGAGGAAACUGAGGCACAGAGAAAUUAAAUCACUUGCCUGCUGGCUUGCACCUGGAAAUAUCUUCUCUUUGAACAUUGUGGAUCUUAAAAAGAGUAUCUACUGUGCAUUCUUUACUUGAUUUUUUACUUUUGCAGUGCUGGAAAUGGAACCUAGUGCCUCGCAUAUGGAUCUUGUGAACCUUUAAAAACUUAGUAAAAUAAAGUCUCACAGAGCAAUGUGGCUUUCUCUUUCCUCCCCAAA